UACCCAUGAUGUGGACACUUUAAAAGUAGCCCGUUGAAUCGCUCCAAUGCUUCAAAGAAUUCUUCGUCUUCUCUUUAAGUAAACUUUGAAAUUGUACUGCGAAU
rfam:Citrus clementina cultivar Clemenules unplaced genomic scaffold scaffold_1, whole genome shotgun sequence.